UGGCGGCGUGCCUAAUACAUGCAAGUAGAACGCUGAAGAGAGGAGCUUGCUCUUCUUGGAUGAGUUGCGAACGGGUGAGUAACGCGUAGGUAACCUGCCUUGUAGCGGGGGAUAACUAUUGGAAACGAUAGCUAAUACCGCAUAACAAUGGAUGACACAUGUCAUUUAUUUGAAAGGGGCAAUUGCUCCACUACAAGAUGGACCUGCGUUGUAUUAGCUAGUAGGUGAGGUAAUGGCUCACCUAGGCGACGAUACAUAGCCGACCUGAGAGGGUGAUCGGCCACACUGGGACUGAGACACGGCCCAGACUCCUACGGGAGGCAGCAGUAGGGAAUCUUCGGCAAUGGGGGCAACCCUGACCGAGCAACGCCGCGUGAGUGAAGAAGGUUUUCGGAUCGUAAAGCUCUGUUGUAAGUCAAGAACGGGUGUGAGAGUGGAAAGUUCACACUGUGACGGUAGCUUACCAGAAAGGGACGGCUAACUACGUGCCAGCAGCCGCGGUAAUACGUAGGUCCCGAGCGUUGUCCGGAUUUAUUGGGCGUAAAGCGAGCGCAGGCGGUUUGAUAAGUCUGAAGUUAAAGGCUGUGGCUCAACCAUAGUUCGCUUUGGAAACUGUCAAACUUGAGUGCAGAAGGGGAGAGUGGAAUUCCAUGUGUAGCGGUGAAAUGCGUAGAUAUAUGGAGGAACACCGGUGGCGAAAGCGGCUCUCUGGUCUGUAACUGACGCUGAGGCUCGAAAGCGUGGGGAGCGAACAGGAUUAGAUACCCUGGUAGUCCACGCCGUAAACGAUGAGUGCUAGGUGUUGGAUCCUUUCCGGGAUUCAGUGCCGCAGCUAACGCAUUAAGCACUCCGCCUGGGGAGUACGACCGCAAGGUUGAAACUCAAAGGAAUUGACGGGGGCCCGCACAAGCGGUGGAGCAUGUGGUUUAAUUCGAAGCAACGCGAAGAACCUUACCAGGUCUUGACAUCCCGAUGCUAUUUCUAGAGAUAGAAAGUUACUUCGGUACAUCGGUGACAGGUGGUGCAUGGUUGUCGUCAGCUCGUGUCGUGAGAUGUUGGGUUAAGUCCCGCAACGAGCGCAACCCCUAUUGUUAGUUGCCAUCAUUCAGUUGGGCACUCUAGCGAGACUGCCGGUAAUAAACCGGAGGAAGGUGGGGAUGACGUCAAAUCAUCAUGCCCCUUAUGACCUGGGCUACACACGUGCUACAAUGGUUGGUACAACGAGUUGCGAGUCGGUGACGGCGAGCUAAUCUCUUAAAGCCAAUCUCAGUUCGGAUUGUAGGCUGCAACUCGCCUACAUGAAGUCGGAAUCGCUAGUAAUCGCGGAUCAGCACGCCGCGGUGAAUACGUUCCCGGGCCUUGUACACACCGCCCGUCACACCACGAGAGUUUGUAACACCCGAAGUCGGUGAGGUAACCUUUUGGAGCCAGCCGCCUA
rnacentral:rRNA from 1 species